rnacentral:rRNA from 1 species
UACAGAGGGUGCAAGCGUUGUUCGGAAUUACUGGGCGUAAAGCGCGCGCAGGCGGUUCUUUAAGUCUACCCGUGAAAUGCCGGAGCUCAACUCCGUGCACGCCGGGGGAUACUGGAGAACUGGAGACAUGUAGAGGCAAGCGGAAUUCCGGGUGUAGCGGUGGAAUGCGUAGAGAUCCGGAAGAACACCGGAGGCGAAGGCGGCUUGCUGGGCAUGAUCUGACGCUGAGGCGCGAAAGCGUGGGGAGCAAACAGGAUUAGAUACCCUGUAGUCC